AAACCAACAGGGGAUUGCCCUAGUAACGGCGAGUGAAGCGGCAACAGCUCAAAUUUGAAAGCUAGCCUUCGGGUUCGCAUUGUAAUUUGUAGAGGAUGCUUUGGGUAAAACGCCAGUCUAAGUUCCUUGGAACAGGACGUCAUAGAGGGUGAGAAUCCCGUAUGUGACUGGAAAUGUUAACCUAUGUAAAGCUCCUUCGACGAGUCGAGUUGUUUGGGAAUGCAGCUCUAAAUGGGAGGUAAAUUUCUUCUAAAGCUAAAUAUUGGCGAGAGACCGAUAGCGCACAAGUAGAGUGAUCGAAAGAUGAAAAGCACUUUGGAAAGAGAGUUAAAAAGCACGUGAAAUUGUUGAAAGGGAAGCGCUUGCAAUCAGACUUGUUUAAACUGUUCGGCCGGUCUUCUGACCGGUUUACUCAGUUUGGACAGGCCAGCAUCAGUUUCGGCGGCCGGAUAAAGGCAUUGGGAAUGUGGCCUUCACUUCGGUGGAGGUGUUAUAGCCCAGUGUGUAAUACGGCCAGCCGGGACUGAGGUCCGCGCUUCGGCUAGGAUGCUGGCGUAAUGGUUGUAAGCGAC
rnacentral:rRNA from 1 species